rnacentral:rRNA from 1 species
UUCGGGGUGGUUUACCUUGCAAGUCGAACGCUGAAGCACCAGCUUGCUGGUGUGGAUGAGUGGCGAACGGGUGAGUAACACGUGAGCAACCUGCCCCUGACUCUGGGAUAAGCGCUGGAAACGGCGUCUAAUACUGGAUACGACCUUCAGCCGCAUGGCUAGGAGGUGGAAAGUUUUUCGGUUGGGGAUGGGCUCGCGGCCUAUCAGCUUGAUGGUGAGGUAAUGGCUCACCAUGGCGACGACGGGUAGCCGGCCUGAGAGGGUGACCGGCCACACUGGGACUGAGACACGGCCCAGACUCCUACGGGAGGCAGCAGUGGGGAAUAUUGCACAAUGGGCGCAAGCCUGAUGCAGCAACGCCGCGUGAGGGAUGACGGCCUUCGGGUUGUAAACCUCUUUUAGUAGGGAAGAAGCCUUUGGGUGACGGUACCUGCAGAAAAAGCACCGGCUAACUACGUGCCAGCAGCCGCGGUAAUACGUAGGGUGCAAGCGUUGUCCGGAAUUAUUGGGCGUAAAGAGCUCGUAGGCGGCUUGUCGCGUCUGCCGUGAAAUCCUCAGGCUCAACUUGAGGCGUGCGGUGGGUACGGGCAGGCUAGAGUGCGGUAGGGGAGAUUGGAAUUCCUGGUGUAGCGGUGGAAUGCGCAGAUAUCAGGAGGAACACCGAUGGCGAAGGCAGAUCUCUGGGCCGCUACUGACGCUGAGGAGCGAAAGCAUGGGGAGCGAACAGGAUUAGAUACCCUGGUAGUCCAUGCCGUAAACGGUGGGAACUAGAUGUAGGGCCUGUUCCACGGGUUCUGUGUCGUAGCUAACGCAUUAAGUUCCCCGCCUGGGGAGUACGGCCGCAAGGCUAAAACUCAAAGGAAUUGACGGGGGCCCGCACAAGCGGCGGAGCAUGCGGAUUAAUUCGAUGCAACGCGAAGAACCUUACCAAGGCUUGACAUGUAGAAGAACACUGCAGAGAUGCAGGACUCUUUGGACACUUCUAUACAGGUGGUGCAUGGUUGUCGUCAGCUCGGGCCGGGAAAUGUUCGGUUAAGUC